rnacentral:rRNA from 1 species
GGGGAAUUUUCCGCAAUGGGCGAAAGCCUGACGGAGCAAUACCGCGUGAGGGAGGAAGGCUCUUGGGUUGUAAACCUCUUUUCUCAGGGAAGAACAAAAUGACGGUACCUGAGGAAUAAGCAUCGGCUAACUCCGUGCCAGCAGCCGCGGUAAUACGGAGGAUGCAAGCGUUAUCCGGAAUGAUUGGGCGUAAAGCGUCCGCAGGUGGCAUUGCAAGUCUGCUGUCAAAGGUCAGGGCUCAACCCUGAAAAGGCAGUGGAAACUGAAAUGCUGGAGUGCGGUAGGGGUAGAGGGAAUUCCCGGUGUAGCGGUGAAAUGCGUAGAGAUCGGGAAGAACACCAGUGGCGAAGGCGCUCUACUAGGCCGCAACUGACACUCAUGGACGAAAGCUAGGGGAGCGAAUGGGAUUAGAUACCCCAGUAGUCCUAGCUGUAAACGAUGGAUACUAGGCGUUGAGAGUAUCGACCCUCUCAGUGUCGUAGCUAACGCGUUAAGUAUCCCGCCUGGGGAGUACGCGCGCAAGCGUGAAACUCAAAGGAAUUGACGGGGGCCCGCACAAGCGGUGGAGUAUGUGGUUUAAUUCGAUGCAACGCGAAGAACCUUACCAGGGCUUGACAUGUCCGGAACCCCAGGGAAACUUGGGGGUGCCUACGGGAGCCGGAACACAGGUGGUGCAUGGCUGUCGUCAGCUCGUGUCGUGAGAUGUUGGGUUAAGUCCCGCAACGAGCGCAACCCUCGUUUUUAGUUGCCAGCAUUCGGUUGGGCACUCUAGAGAGACUGCCGGUGACAAACCGGAGGAAGGUGGGGAUGACGUCAAGUCAGCAUGCCCCUUACGUCCUGGGCUACACACGUACUACAAUGCUACGGACAAAGGGAAGCAAGCGUGCGAAUGCAAGCAAAUCCCAUAAACCGUGGCUCAGUUCAGAUUGCAGGCUGCAACUCGCCUGCAUGAAGGCGGAAUCGCUAGUAAUCGCAGGUCAGCAAUACUGCGGUGAAUACGUUCCCGGGCCUUGUACACACCGCCCGU